AUUGAACGCUGGCGGCAGGCCUAACACAUGCAAGUCGAGCGAGCGGCGGACGGGUGAGUAAUGUCUGGGAAACUGCCUGAUGGAGGGGGAUAACUACUGGAAACGGUAGCUAAUACCGCAUACCAUCAGAUGUGCCCAGAUGGGAUUAGCUAGUAGGUGGGGUAACGGCUCACCUAGGCGACGCUCCCUAGCUGGUCUGAGAGGAUGACCAGCAACACGGGAACGGGGACACGGUCCAGACUCCUACGGGAGGCAGCGUUGGGGAAUAUUGCACAAUGGGCGCGAGCCGGAUGCAGCAAUGCGGCGGGUGUGAAGAAGGCCUUCGGGUUGUAAAGCACUUUCAGCGGGGAGGCGUUACCCGCAGAAGAAGCACCGGCUAACUCCGUGCCAGCAGCCGCGGUAAUAC
rnacentral:rRNA from 1 species